AGAAAGAGAAACAGAGUGAGAGAGAGAGAGAGAGAGAGAGAGAGAGAGAGAGACGCUUGACAGAACAAGUGAUUUUAUAUCACGGUGAGAAAUACGUCUGCAUGUAGAACGCAGCUCACUACAGAUCAUGCCAGUAAAGGAUGACAAGAGAAAUAGAAAAAAUGAAAAAUAGAGGGCAGUGAAAGGAAGAAGAAAAAUGUGGAAAGUAAAUGGGAUGAUAUGUGUUAGUGCUGAUGUCUCAGUUUCAGCAGCAGAAGUUCGAGGGGAAACAGUCACGUUCACGUUAAUGAAGGGGCCAGACUGGCAACAUGUGACUCGAUUACAGCGUGGGAGUAAAAAGGGAGAGAAGAACGGAUCAGGACAGGAAUGAGGGGAAACUGGAGGACAGGAACGAAGGAAAGGAAGAGAAAGGUGGAGAUAUAAAGGGGCAGGCGAGAGGUCUCCGCUGGACUGGAAUGGUGAGAGGGUGAAAUUCCGGCACUGCUUCCCUGAAAGACACCAGCACUUCACUUCACACCGGACUCGCUGGGAAGAAGGAGAAAAAACACUUGAAGAGCAACUGAGUGAGUGGAAAACAGGAGGUUUUCAAACAGGUAUCUCGUGUCACGUUACGAUUGUGCAAUUGUUUGCAGACUCAAGAUAGCCAGCGAGGAACAGGUUUAGGGUCAGACGAGAGAGAGAAUGGGUAGAAGAGAAAGGAGAGAAAAGCGAGGAACAGAAAAAAGACAGAAAGGGAAGAGGCCUUCCUCACGGAUGAGAAAAAGCAUCCGACACCCUCCGAAACACACGUGCAGCUGCGUUUGUGAAAUAUCCGCUUUCACCUGAUGGACUGAAGCAUCUCGCCGGUCGUCAGCUGCAGGACGUGCUCGUGCGUUCGCCAUCACACCUGAAAGAUCAAGGUGAACUCAUUUAGCAAUCUCAUAAAGCUCAUGGAACGUGAACUGGACAUGCUAAACUCAAAAUCUGGUAUAAUAAUCUUUCAUGCAGUUUAAGGUAUGUAGAAUAUUUGGGCUCUUUUCAGGCAAAAGAUGUGAAAACUUCAAAGGAAUGGCAACCAGUAACAGCAGCUGAUACAAACAUCUUCCUCAUAUGUUCAUGCACAUGUUCAUCAUCGGCUUCUUCUCAGUUUUCAGCCAGUAUCUGUGAGCAGUGACACCGGCUGCAGCGUCGCCAUUGUGUCGUGUCCUUGUUCUCUGUGUAAUGGCGGGUGACGGCCGAAGCACGCCAGCAGCGGCAGUGAAGGAAAGUGAGAGAGAGAGGCAGCAUGUGGGUGAAGGGUGACGCAUGCUUUUAUGAAUGGGCUGCAGGGACGAGCGCUCUGAUUGGUCAGUUCCACUCCUCUCUGUCUAUAGUGAAAUAUGACACCACAGCUCAACAUACCAUCUUAAAAUGUGACACAACCAUUACCACUGCAGCCUUUAUCAGCAGUUUGUGAAGAUCUGUCAAAGUAAAACAGAGUUGUAAGAUAAGAAAUGUGCAGGACUACUGAGCUGAAACAUCGUCUCAAUCCCUGUGCGUCAAUCAAGGAAACUCACACGACAACAUCGGCACUCGGUCAACAAGAGCAGCUGUCACACACUGACAAAGACACGAAAGGACCUCGAACCCUCUUUACAUUAAGCUGAAACGCUUCCUGUCUGUCCUCAGGUCACAUGCAGGUCAUUAGGGAGGAGGAGAUGAGAGAGGAACAGUGAGGGACGUCCUGCACCAUCUAACUUCACAAGAGUGUGCGAUUGUGUGGCAAAGCAUUUGCUGAUGGACGGCACAGAUGACAGCAGCGUCACGCUCACUGACGUCCAGCCCUCGUCCUGCCAAAUCAUGGAAAACUUGGUGUGUCAUGUAACAUCAUGGAAACAGGAGAUGCUGCGAGUGGAAAAAGAGCCGUCACACGUCAGUCACGUGACCAAAUGAGAGGGACAGCACGAUGAGGUCAAGACGACACAAGCUUCCGUCAUCACUGAUAAUUCAACAUUUAUGAAAUAAUAAAGGUCAUUUGUUUAUA